CCUCUACUGCCUCCCGGCCCAGGGGGAGGCUGCCGAGGUUCCUGAGCGCCCUGCAGUAGGUGGGGAGGUCUGGGCAGGCGGCAUCCAGACACAGUGUGCUGAGCACGCAGUCAGCCGGGGGUAAGGGGACGGCCCCCAGUGGCUGGCUCUGAGUCACAUCACACUUCAGCACCUGCUUGACCGCCUGUCUCAACUUCUCCUCCUUCUCUGGACCCUUGACUCUGAAAAACACAAACCCACAGACAUUGUUUUCCACUCCAGUCAUGGGGAACCCAGAUCUCUUGGGUCAAGGCUAAAAAUGGCCGUAUUGUCCCAGAUGUGUGUCCUUAGGGCCACCUCUAUCGGGAAAGGAGAGAAAGAAGAACUGAGGGGUCAUUUUGGCAUUUGAAUGAGACCAUAUUACCCUGAGCUAUGUUAAAUCUCUUCAUAAAGUGAAUAGUAUGUGAAAACGAUAAUAAUACCUAGCAGCCUGCUUCUACCGUGGACUUCCCUCCAUGAAAUUAUUCUUCCUUCACUGCUUAGUAUAGUACUCACUUAUACUAUACUGGCUCAUUUAUUAGUAUUUAUAGGUUAUUAUUAUUAUACUUGAUCCAUCUGCCAAACUGUAAGUUAGCGGCUACUUGACCCAUACAGAAUAAGUAUUAAUAAUAAGGGGUUUCAAAUGCUGAAACAUUAUCUUUGCAGUAGUUGCUGAUCAAUAAGAGUGGUGAGGUCUUCCAUAGAUAUUUUUAGGAACUAUUGAUCAUUAUCCCACAGCUGUGAACAGGGCACUCCUGGAGAGAAGAAAGCUACAUUUCCCAUUCUCAGAUUCCAACAAAUAUUGCAGAUAGUAUGUUUUCUGACAGAGAUCAUGUUUUUGGUAGCCUUGCCAGGAACCCUGUCCUUUUCUGCCAAAUCAAUGGCAUGUUUUGGGUUUUUUGUUUUGUUUUGUUUCUAGAGACAGGGUCCUGUUCUGUUGCACAGGAUGGAGCGCAGUGGCGCCAUCACAGCUCACUGCAGCCUCAAACUCCUGGGCUCAAGGGAUCCUCCCCACCUCAGCCUCCCAAAGCACUGGGAUUACAGGCUUGCACCACCAUACCAGGCUAAUUUUUUUAUGUUUUAUAGAGACAGGGUCUCCCUAUGUUGCCCAGGCUGGUCUCGAACUUCUGGCCUCAAGUGAUCCUCCUGCCUCAGCCUCUCAAACUGCUGGAAUUGCAGGCAUGAGCCACCACCACACCUGACCCAGUGGUGAUUUCUCAAGAGAAAAAUCAGUUAAUAAAAGAAUGAAAGAAGAGAAGGCAAGGGCAGGAGAUGGGACAGAGUGGCUUGUAUCCUAUUUGAAUUUGUUAAAGGAGGAAGAAAGGAACAAACAAACAAAUGAUCAAAAUUAAAUAAACAGAGUGUACAAGAGAAACCAGAGAGCAGGGGCGGACAAAGGAGAAAGAAGUAGCAGAAGAUCAGAUAAGUGAGAAAAGGGGAAGAAACAUUGAGUGUGUUAAGGGCCCAGGCCCCAGAGCACUAAGAGUAGGAGUGACCCCUGGGUAUUGCACUCUUGGAAGGAGUUAACCAGCAAAGCAUUGUGGAGCAGAUCCAGUCUCACACUCAGGAAACACACACUCUACCAUCUGAUGCAGACUCCAGGAGAAAAUGGCCACUUGGGCAUCAAGGCUUGACAGACAGCAGAGAUGGCCCCACAUUCCAGCAAGUGAGGGAGACUUUCACUGGGACCAUUUCCAGUUAUGAGGAAAAGUCAAUGGUUUAAAUAAAACUUGAUUCGAGAGAGUGGACACUAGUCAUGGGCAUCUUAAAUAUUCACUUAAAAUCUUAAUCCUAGCGAAUAUAAUCACUUCUUUGCAAACAUGCUUUAUGCUUCCUAUAAUUUUCCAUUUAAGGAGCUUAGCAAUUAGCAGAUGAAAAGAUGCUCAACAUUGUCAGUCAUCAGAGAAAUGCAAAUCAAAACCAUGAGAUACCACUUCACAUCACUAUGACGGCUAUAAUAAAAAAGACAGAUAAUACCAAGUGUUGGCAAGGAUUUGCAGAAACUGGAACCUACAUACACUGCUGCUGACAAUGUAAAAUAGUCCAGUUACUUUGGAAAACAGUCUGGCAGUUCCUUAAAAGGUUAAAUAUAGAGUUACCACAUGACCCAGGAAAUCUGUCUAGGUAUAUACCCAAGAGAAAUGAAAACAUAUAUCCAUACAAAAACUUGUAAUGAAUGUUUAUAAACAGCUAAAAGGUGCAAACAAUGCAACCGUCAACUUCUGAAUAGGUAAAUAAAAUGUGAUAUAUACAUAUAAUGGAAUAUUAUUUGGCAACAAAAAGAAAUGAAAUUCUGACACAUGCUACAACAUGGAUGGACCUUCUAGACACAGGCUAAAUGAAAAAAGCCAGAACCAAAAGGCCACAUAUUGUAUGAUUCCAUUUAUAUGAAAUGUCCAGAAAAGGCAAAGCUACAGAGACUGAAAGCAGACCAGUGGUUGCCAGGAGCUGAGGGAUUUGGAGAGAAAUGGGAGUGGCUGCUAAUGGGUACAGGAUUUCUUUUGAGAAUUAUGAAAAUGUUGUAAAAUUGAUUGUGAUGAAGGUUGCACAACUCUGAAAGUAUACUAAAAACUACUGAAUUUCGCAAUUUAAAUGGGUGCAUUAAUUGUAUGGUAUGUGAGUUUUAUCUCAAUAAGCUGUCAUAUUAAAAGAGAGAGAGAGAGAGAGAUGAGCUUAGCAAGGUGUUGAUUUGGGGGAAUUCCUACCAACCACUAAACUGGUAUCUACAUAGAAAACAAAAAUUAUCCUUGGUUGGGUCUACCUGCUCCUUUAUCAAGGCUAGAAAUGGUAGCAGGGUGACCACUUUGUCCUGAUUUGUCUCAGACUUUUCUAGUUUUAGCACUGAAAAAUCCCAUAUUCUAAGUCCCCCUUGCAGUCCUGGACAAAGCAGACAGUCAUUCUAAGGUGGGAAACUAGUUACAAAGCUACCACCCAGCCUUGAUACAACAUGGAAGUUUUCAUAGAACACUUUAAGAAUAACAACAAAAAGAAAAACACUGUAGAAGUGUGUGAGAAACAUGUAUUUGAAUAGACAAACUAAUCUAGAACAGAAAAACUUAAGUAACCUAUCUGCACAUAGGAAUAAUAAUAAAGUGUAUAUCAAAAGGUAGAGUAGUGACAACAUAGUGUUCUGGGGGAUGUGUUUCGGGAUGAUCCUGUAUAACGGGAACAUUGUGGAAAUGUGUGUUUGAUUCCAACAGAAGCAGAACGAACCUCCGUGCCCUAUUGCGUAUUAAGCUAUUUGAAACACUUGAGUUACCACAGAACUAGAACUUACCAGUCAGAUGAUGAUGCAAAUUGUUCCCAAACUGUGAGCCACACUGUGAAGUCUCCAAAGCUCACAGAGAAUGUGCCAAUUUGAGAGGGAAAUUUGCUAGAAACACCCAGUGUCAUAGAUCCCUGCUUGUCCUUGGACACACAGCAAACAUUGGGGAAGUCAGUUGCCAAGGUAGCUGUGUAAAGCCUGCAUACACCUCGGGGCAACGCAGGGAAAUGGACUCACCAGAGACCCAGCCAAUUACUACUUUGCCUCAUGUUUAGCUCAUGGGGUAGGUAAUAAACACACACCGGGAAAGUGCUAUGCUGUUUUGCAGAAAGCUAACAGCGGUGUGGUCAUUUCUUUAGUUCUAAAGGUCUGCCCUUUCAAAAGAAUCAAUAUGCAAAAAAAGGUAGCCCUGUCCUCUGUAAAUAUGCAUCUAUAAAAGCCUGAGGGGUAUGGGGAGGAAGGGAGGGAGGCAAGAAAGGAUGAAGAGGAGGGCCCCGGGAAGAACCCUUUCUGAGAAUGUCUUCCCACAUUCCAGGUGAACUAUCCUGAGAUUUAGAGGCGGUUCCUCCUGCCCUGUCUCAGCAAGGCUGGCAGUGCAUCAGAAUCUCCCUGACAAGCUGUUUUUCAUUGUCCUCACAUCCCCAAAGCCCCAUCCUCAGAAGUUCCUGCAGGCUCUCCUGAGAAAGAACCAUCAAAACAGGUCAAGGAAAUCAAGGCUAAGUAAGCGUGGAGGUCACUGUGAGAAUUGUACGGGCAAGGAACAAUCAUUAGUGCAUCUUUGACAGAGACCACACCCCACACCCGAAUCAGGUGAAUGAUAUUCUAGGAGGAAAAGUCUGAAAAGCAAAAUGUGAGUAUUCAUGUAUUUUCCAAAUAUGUUUUGAACCUCUACUAUGUUCAGGAAAUAGGCUGGGCACUGGGGACACAAGGAUGAACAAAUGAGAAACAGAUUCUAACCUCAUGGAGAUUGUAGACGGGUGGGUGGCGGGAGAAAGCAUUAACCCAGUGAUCACUCAUAGGAGUGGAAAUUAAAACUGACAAAUGCAAGGAAGGAAAGGAGCAUGGCACUAAUGGGGAGAUGUUGGGAGCUCCCCUUGACCUAGAGGAUCAGGAAAAGCUCCUCCAAAAAGGAGUCGGGCAAGCAGAGAUAUAGAGGAUAAAUACGUAGGAGUUAACCAGACUGAAGCAAGCAGGGAGGGCGGGAGGAAAUUCCAGUAAGAGGAAACCGCAAGUGCAAAGGCCACGUGGUGGCAGGAAACACAGGAGGAGAGAGCCAACGUGGCUGGAUUGUGGGGAAAUAGGUUGGCAGAGCCAGACUAGGCAGGGCUUUGUGGACCAUGACAGGAAUUUUGCUUUUCAUUCCAAAAGCUCUGGAGAGUCACUAGGGAGCACUAAGGAGGAGAGUGACAUGAUCAGAUUUACAUUUUGAGAGGGUCACUUGGGCUGCAGAACAGAGAAGAAUUGAGUGGAGGGGCAAGAGUGGAAGUGGGAGGCCAGUCAGGAGGGAGACAGGGGUAGCUGAGACCAGGUGAUGGUAAACACGGGAAGAAAUGGGUUACAGAGGAAGUCAGGAAGUAAAAUGGACAGAGCUUGAUGUUAAGUUAGAUAUGGAACAUGACAGAGAGGGAAAGGACAAAUUGACUUCCAGGUUCUGGCUUGUCCAAUUUAUUAUAUGAUGGUGCCAUUCAAGGAGCUAAGAAUACCAGAAAUAAAGCAGAUCUGGAGCAGAUGGUAGCUCUGUUUUGGACACACUGAGUUUGAAGUGCUCUGAGACCUGUGAGUAGAAAUGUUUACAAUUGAGGAAAUAGCUAGUUGAAGGUUUCUUAACCUGCCCUGUGAAUUUUCCUGGGGAGAUAAGGUGGCAAGAGCACCUAUUUAAGAGAGAGGCAUCCUUGUAAAAGGCGGGAAUGUUUCCUAGGUAUCACUGAAACAAUCAUCAUGAUCAUCAAGAUCCUGGUUUUGAAAAAGCUUAUCAAUAUCCUUUUGCAAGCUGUGAAAGUCCAGAGAUGCUUUGGAAUAGAAGUGGUUCACUAGUUUGUGGAACACAUUUGGCACAACUGUGUCUAUUUUUGGACAACAUACAAACAUCUUUUUAAAUAGAAAUGGAGGUCUUUGCACAGAGAGCAUUUACCUCAGAGAACUGCCACCUCGACAGGGGCCUAAGCUUUCUUCUGUCAGGUAUGCUGAGGUUAAGAGGAGCACACUACCUGACUUCAAACUGUACUACAAGGCUACAGUAACCAAAACAGCAUGGUACUGGUACCAAAACAGAAAUGUAGAACAAUGGAACAGAACAGAGCCCUCAGAAAUAAUACCACACAUCUACAACCAUCUCAUCUUUGAC
rnacentral:lncRNA from 10 species